rnacentral:rRNA from 1 species
UACGAAGGGGGCUAGCGUUGCUCGGAAUCACUGGGCGUAAAGCGCACGUAGGCGGAUUUUAAGUCAGGGGUGAAAUCCUGGAGCUCAACUCCAGAACUGCCUUUGAUACUGGGAAUCUAGAGUCCGGAAGAGGUGAGUGGAACUCCGAGUGUAGAGGUGAAAUUCGUAGAUAUUCGGAAGAACACCAGUGGCGAAGGCGGCUCACUGGUCCGGUACUGACGCUGAGGUGCGAAAGCGUGGGGAGCAAACAGG